GAUGAGGUGGCUGAGUGGUUAAGGUGAUGGACUGCUAAUCCAUUGUGCUCUGCACGCAUGGGUUUGAAUCCCAUCCUCAUGGGAUGCA